AGAAGGUCAGGUUGUCAUGAUGUCUAGGAAGCCUUGGCAGUUCAAGGCCACAUGCAGAUAUACAGAACAGACUUUCCACGCCUAAGGAUACUUUUUGCUGUGUCAGUUCUCCUGGGACCACCAUUCUGUAAAAACAGAAGGUAAAAUCUGCGUUUGGGGAGGAGAAUGUGCUUACUGACACCUAAAAGAGGGAGACUAUUACAGUGUUUUUGGAGAGGUGUUAUCUGCCAAGGAACUGAAACUUUGAUUUUGAAUUAUGUACCUUUUUUUUACAUUCUAACUUUUUCUAAAAUUUUACAAACACGAUGACUGCCACACCCUGGGUUUUCUGAUCUCUCCCUUUGAUUUAGAGCUUUGAUGUUACCAAAAUGAACUGAGAUAUGAAAUCCAUUCAGAUGUUCUUCCAGUUUGCAGUGUUGUACAGAGAGCAGUGACCCAAAGCUCAGGCCAUCUAUGGGGUGUCCUUUGUCAGCCCCCAGCCUACACGGAAGGGUGAAUGCCACAUCAGCUGUUCAGAAGUACACUGGUUGGAGCCUCCAAUGAACGUAUGACCAUGAGGUCCAUGAUCACUUUUCUUACAUUUUGCACUACCCAGAAGCACAUGACCCAAAGGACCUCUGAAACAGCCUUCUCAAGAGCCUGGUGAGUGACAACACUCUGAAAUAAUGAGUGCUAUCCUUUCUACUACAUUAUAUACAUUAAAGCAGGCACUCUUUAUAGUGCUUCGUCUCCGUUUACAAAGAUAAC
rnacentral:lncRNA from 1 species